GUCAGAGACGCUCAUAGCAACCUAUCAAUCGCAAUAUUGACCAAUCGCCUCACUCUGUGUAUCCAUCACCCUCUGACUUGGCUGGCAAGAUCACACAAUCCAUCUACAAAAGUUGUCCGACUCCAGCUGCACCUCGCUACAUCAACAACAAGACCAGCAGGAGCGAAGAAGAAGAAGAAGACAUCCGGCCUCAAACAGCCUCCAUGCUGCGCUGCUCGAUGUCAGCCACCGGCUCGGAUUGGGAGGGAGAUUAGUUGUAGUGGGGAGCGGUUGCUGGAAGCUUUUCUUCCAGACAAAAAGGCUCAGGCUUUCAGAGUCUCUGAUGAAGACAGAUUGUGAAAAGAGUCACCUCCAACAUGUUCAUUCUCUUCAGAGGGGACCGGCCUUUCUGUAUUAUUCUUUAUUUUAAACAACAGAGAUAUUAUCAAAAAUGUGACGGUGCUCAGAAGCACCUCUUUCCCUGCAUGUGGACGUUUGCUGUUAAAACCAAAAACACCUCAAACCACAAAUCAACGCGCCCAUUUUUGCCUCCCAGAUGUCAUCUGCUUGUAGUUGUGUUGCUGGAAGCAGCUAGAAGUUAGAGCCAUGCCCAGACAUUUCUUCUGCGUUGAGUUUUAGUGAUACGUCUAGUCCAGGCGUGUCUAAUUUUAGUUUCAUGGGCCACAUAACCCUAAUUAGAGCCCAAGUGGGCCAGACCUGUAAACCACUCCAGAAAGUUUAUCUGCCACAGAGUUUCUUGUCAGCUUGAUGUUGGCAAACACGAGGUGCUUCUGCUACGACAGCGUCGGAGGUCAUUGUAGGAAGAAAAAAAAAAAUGUUACGAGAGAGAGGGGUAAUAGAGAAAAAACUCAGAACCUCUAAAAUUGAAGUUGUAAAUUUAUGGAAAAAGAGCUUUGGUAUUCUCUGAGAUUUAAGUGCUAAAUUUAGAAUUGGAAAGCAAUUUUUUUUUGUACUUUACAAAGUCAUCCAGUGGGCCUGAUUGGACCCUUAGGUAGGCCCGUUCUGGCCCAUGGGCCGUAGGCUUGACACCCCAGGUCUAUUCGAGAACGGUCUACUCUGAAUAAAAUAAAAAGACAUAGAGUUGCUGUUGAAAGCUGCAGAAAAAGCUAGCAAACACAGUGAAGAUUUCUGUAUACGUACAGUAUAUAUCGGAGUACUUUUUCCGAGGUCAAAACUGAAUUCUAGGUCUGGCGUGCUGUCGUUGAAACGUAGGUUAACUAUGUUGCGGUCUCAGAAACGUCUUGUUAGUAAUUCACUGUAAAUGUGCCUAAAGUUGGGUGAGGGAUCCUUAAGAGUCAGUAUUCACGUUUGUAAAUCUCCUCCACAUUUUUAUGUCUAUACAAAUUUUGUCACUAGAGAGUGUCUUACAUUCCUCUCCUGAAGGGGGAGAUCUCUGUGCACUUCCCUGAAAUCUGACACUCCUCUCUAUCCCUGACCGACACACCUGUAAACUGCCUUUAAAUCCUUAAUUCACCCAAGAAAAGAGCAGAUACACAGCAUCUUGGCUCAGGCUUUUAUCUUCAUAUUCAUCUGCUAAUAGGCUAAACUACAGUGGCUAGCCUUGAUAGACGGCUUCAUCUGAAUGCUGUGUCCCCCUCGGAUGCAUUUAGUAAGAAGAGUCUAACAUGAAUCUAUCUACAAAUGCUUUAAAAAA